UGCAGCGUUGGCACGCCGCUCUCUCUGUCCCUCCGUUUGUGGUUGAGCCAUCGUACGGGAAAGGUAGGCGUCCUUCUCGGUUGAUUCAUUGCUCUUUUGGUGCAUUGUAAUGUACUUAGUUUGUUGGUUACUGACGCCAUUUAACUUAAUCGCAGCCCUGUCCAUCCGCAACUGGCGUGAACCCAGCUGGCAGUCGGCUACUGUUCUGGAGCUUGUAUGCCGAGCUCGGCAAACUCGAGUAUCACUGGUGGCGUGCUUCCACUUCGUGCCCUUUGUGGUUGACUACUUGCGUGCCGCUUCGAGAGAACCAAAGGUAAUGUCGUGUUUUCUCUGUCGGCAUGUGCCUGAAUCUGGCAUUUUUUAUUUAGCGUUUAUUGAUUUGACUUGCAUGUGCCACAGUUUCCUUGAUGCACGGUACCCAGCUGGAACCCGGCGUGACCCAUAUCCCGACUUGCGCUUGGCAGACCUGAUCUGGAGGAGGAGUUGGUGCCUUCGACUACACUGAUGCAGUAUCACUAGAGAAGGGGGGCAUCACUGUUCUUUUCCCAACCUUUUUCUUUUUUUUUGUCCUAUUGUGAAAGUGAUUUAUCCUAUGCAGCCUUUCACUUUGUAACGUCCGAGACGAAGGGGCUUGUGUAAUUUUCACUCUAACAUCCAAGACGAAGGGGCUUGUGUAAGUUUCACUCUAACAUCCGAGACGAAGGGGCUCGUGUACGUUUCUACUUAGUAACAUCCAAGACGAAGGGGCUUGUGUAGGUUUUUCACUCUAACAUCCGAGACGAAGGGGCUCGUGUAAGUUUCUACUUAGUAACUGCCAAGACGGAGCUUGUGUAUAUGAUUAGGGUAUGAACACUGAAGUAUUACUGGGAGACGCAUCUUAAACCCCAGAAUCCUUUUUGGAACCUGUACUUGCUGUAGGGAGAGACCAAAUACGUGUGUCUAACAAGUGUGUGUGUGUGUGUGCGGUGGCCAUUACCAA